GACGAACGCUGGCGGCGUGCUUAACACAUGCAAGUCGAACGGAGAAGCGCCUUCCUUGUUGGUGGGUGGGGAUGAGCGGCGAAGGGGGGAGCAAGACGUGAGUAACCUUCCCCCUCCUGCUGGAUAACCGCAAGAAAGAGCGGCUAAUACGGGAUAUUCUGGACCUGUUGGAUGAUGGGUCUGGGAAAGAUAUUGUUUCGGUGGGGGAUGGGUCCGCGGUCUAUUAGCUUGUUGGUGGGGUGAGGGCCUACCAAGGCGGUGCCGGGUAGCCGGCCUGAGAGGGUGGCCGGCCACAGAGGGGCUGCGCGCCCGCCCCGACUCCGACAGGAGGCAGCAGUGGAUAUUCUGGCACAGGGGGCACAAGGCUGAUGCAGCGCCGCCGCGGGGGGGAUGGAGGCCUUCGCGUUAUGAUCCUCUUUCGGCAGUGAAGCAGUCUUGCCUCGUUUGUGGGUGGGUUGACGGUAGCUGGUUAAGAAGCGCCGGCUAACUACGUG
rnacentral:rRNA from 1 species